GGCUUAACACAUGCAAGUCGAGGGGUAUAGUAGCAAUACUAGAGACCGGCGCACGGGUGCGUAACGCGUAUGCAAUCUACCUUUUGCAGAGGGAUAGCCCAGAGAAAUUUGGAUUAAUACCACAUAGUAUAAUGUUUCGGCAUCGGGAUAUUAUUAAAGUCACAACGGCAAAAGAUGAGCAUGCGUCCCAUUAGCUAGUUGGUAUGGUAACGGCAUACCAAGGCGACGAUGGGUAGGGGUCCUGAGAGGGAGAUCCCCCACACUGGUACUGAGACACGGACCAGACUCCUACGGGAGGCAGCAGUGAGGAAUAUUGGACAAUGGGCGCAAGCCUGAUCCAGCCAUGCCGCGUGCAGGAAGACGGUCCUAUGGAUUGUAAACUGC
rnacentral:rRNA from 1 species